rnacentral:rRNA from 1 species
AUGUGGUCCCUGGAGGGGGCAAAGGAGGUCCUGGGAAAGUUCUGCAUCAUCGACCGGCUUGACAGCCACACCUUCGAGUGCUGGGACACACGCACGUUCGCCGCCUGGGUGUGGGUGUGGAACCUCACGGACAUCCCCACCCGCCACUUCCUCUCCAGCUUCGAGGAGGGCGUCGGACGGAUGAUGGAGAUGUUGGGCUACUCGCCGGCCAACUGUGCUGUCCCACCGCCUCCUGAGGGGGAGCGUAGCUCCCUGCUCUUCCACAUCGACCGCGUCGAGGACUGGACCCCUCGCGAGCCGCGGUCUCCUGCGUCCUACCAGAGCGGCCUGCCCUCCUCGGGUUCCUCCAGCAACGACUGA